GUAGAAACUCGCUGCAUCCAAUCAAAAAGCGCCUAUACCAUGAUCACGUGUAAAUGUAGAAAGUGUUUGUAAACAAUUGCCACGUGUUUAUUGUGCAACAAGUCUUUACAUCUAUUAAACUUACGACUAUAUUUAGUGACAACUUGAAUGUUUUUAAUCAACUAAUAGAAGUUUCUGUGUAUGUUUCAUGCACAAAUGCAUGAAUGUUGACGUAUAUUUUCGUUUCCGGCUUUACCAAGUGUGUAGAAUCUAGACGCUACCGUGUUCUUACCUCCAAACUGAAGAGUUCAAGUGCUACCAUUGGUCAAAAAUAAUGUAUUCGGAAUGGGCGUGACUUUAAUCUUCCGAUAGAUGGCGCAACAUUAAUAUCACAAAUGUUGGCUCAAUCUGCCAAGGGUGAAGAGAGCGGGAGUGGAUCGUAACCCUUGGC
rnacentral:lncRNA from 1 species